UCUCGAUAGCGUACAAGUUAACUAAAAUUUGUUUACAGUUCGAACGUCUGCCUACGUUUGCCUUAGGAGCGCUGUUCCAACUGCAUACAAAUUUCAGUUAACUUUUACGCUAUCGA
rnacentral:pre_miRNA from 9 species